rnacentral:tRNA from 1 species
GGCCUUGUGGCCUAAUGGACACGGCGUCGCUCUGCUAAAGCGAAGACUGCAGGUUCGAGUCCUGCCUGGGUCG